rnacentral:rRNA from 1 species
CCCGCUGAACUUAAGCAUAUCAAUAAGCGGAGGAAAAGAAUCUAACAAGGAUUCCCCUAGUAACUGCGAGUGAAGCGGGAAGAGCUCGAAUUUGAAAUCUGGCGGUUCUUGACUGUCCGAGUUGUAAUCUAGAGAAGUGUUACCUGUGCUGGACCGUGUACAAGUCUUCUGGAAUGGAGCAUCAUAGAGGGUGAGAAUCCCGUCUUUGACACGGACUACCUGUACAUUAUGGUGCGUUCUCAAAGAGUCGAGUUGUUUGGGAAUGCAGCUCAAAAUGGGUGGUAAAUGCCAUCUAAAGCUAAAUAUUGGCGAGAGACCGAUAGCGAACAAGUACCGUGAGGGAAAGAUGAAAAGAACUUUGGAAAGAGAGUUAAACAGUACGUGAAAUUGUUGAAAGGGAAACGCUUGAAGUCAGUUGCGUCGGCUAGAAAUCAACUUUGCUUUUGCUUGGUGUAUUUUCUGGUUCUGAUGGGUCAGCAUCAAUUUUGCCCGCUGGAUAAAGUCUUUGGGAAUGUGGCAUCUUAGGAUGUGUUAUAGCCCAUUGUCGCAUACUGCGGUUGGGAUUGAGGAACUCAGCACGCCCUCAUGGGUCAGGGUUCUUUUUGACCCACAUAACGUGCUUAGGAUGCUGGCAUAAUGGCUUUAAACGACCCGUCUUGAAACACGG